GUGAGGAAUAUUGGUCAAUGGGCGCAAGCCUGAACCAGCCAUGCCGCGUGCAGGAAGACGGUCCUAUGGAUUGUAAACUGCUUUUAUUUGGGAAUAAACUCCGGUACGUGUACCGGCCUGAAGGUACCAAAUGAAUAAGCACCGGCUAACUCCGUGCCAGCAGCCGCGGUAAUACGGAGGGUGAAAGCGUUAUCCGGAAUCAUUGGGUUUAAAGGGUCCGCAGGCGGUCUCAUAAGUCAGUGGUGAAGGCCUACAGCUCAACUGUAGAACUGCCAUUGAUACUGUAGGACUUGAAUUCGAUCGAAGUGGUCUGAAUGUGACAUGUAGCGGGGAAAUGCUUAGAUAUGUCACAGAACACCGAUAGCGAAGGCAGCUCACUAGGUCUGGAUUGACGCUCAGGGACGAAAGCGUGGGGAGCAAACAGGAUUAGAAACCCCUGUAGUCC
rnacentral:rRNA from 1 species